GGUGAACGCUGGCGGCGUGGAUAAGGCAUGCAAGUCGAAUGGGUUUAGGCCCAUGGCAGACGAGGUAGUAACACGUGGGUACCUACCCUCAAGUCAGGGAUAUUCCAUCGAAAGAUGGCGCAAUACUUGAUAGUCUCUACGGAGUAAAGAUUUAUCGCUUGAGGAGGGGCCUGCGUAAUAUCAGCUAGUUGGUAGGGUAAUGGCCUACCAAGGCUAUGACGUUUAGGGGAGCUGAGAGGCUGACCCCCACCGAGGGAACUGAGACACGGUCCCUACUUCUACGGAGGGCAGCAGCCGAGAAUAUUCGACAAUGGACGAAAGUCUGAUCGAGUGACGCCGCGUGGUGGAUGAAGUCCUUCGGGACGUAAACACCUUUUAUAGGGGAUGAAGUUUUGACAGUACCCUAGGAAUAAGGGGCUCCUAACUCUGUGCCAGCAGGAGCGGUAAUACAGAGGCCCCAAGCGUUACCCGGAAUCACUGGGCGUAAAGGAUGUGUAGGUGGUUGUAUUAGUCAAUUGUGAAAUCUUUCGGCUCAACCGAAAGGAUGCCGAUUGAAACGGUACAACUUGAGGACGUAAGAGGUAUGCGGAACUCACGGUGUAGGGGUAAAAUCCGUUGAUAUCGUGGGGAACACCAUAGGCGAAGGCGGCAUACUGGGACGUUCCUGACACUGA
rnacentral:rRNA from 1 species